rnacentral:rRNA from 1 species
UACAGAGGUCUCGAGCGUUCGGGGGAAUCACUGGGCUUAAAGCGUGUGUAGGCGGAUCGUUAAGUGCCUUGUGAAAUCCCACGGCUCAACCGUGGAACUGCUUGGCAUACUGGCGGUCUUGAGCAACCUAGGGGCGAGCGGAACAAAUGGUGGAGCGGUGAAAUGCGUAGAUAUCAUUUGGAACGCCAAUGGUGAAAACAGCUCGCUGGGGGUUUGCUGACGCUGAGACACGAAAGCCAGGGGAGCAAACGGG